rnacentral:rRNA from 1 species
ACGGGAGGCAGCAGUGGGGAAUAUUGGGCAAUGGGCGCAAGCCUGACCCAGCAACGCCGCGUGAGUGAUGAAGGUCUUCGGAUUGUAAAACUCUUUAAGCAGGGAAGAAGAAAGUGACGGUACCUGCAGAAUAAGCAUCGGCUAACUACGUGCCAGCAGCCGCGGUAAUACGUAGGGGGCAAGCGUUAUCCGGAUUUACUGGGUGUAAAGGGAGCGUAGACGGCUUUGCAAGUCUGAAGUGAAAGCCCGGGGCUCAACCCCGGAACUGCUUUGGAAACUGUAGAGCUAGAGUGCAGGAGAGGUAAGUGGAAUUCCUAGUGUAGCGGUGAAAUGCGUAGAUAUUAGGAGGAACACCAGUGGCGAAGGCGGCUUACUGGACUGUAACUGACGUUGAGGCUCGAAGGCGUGGGGAGCAAACAGGAUUAGAUACCCUGGUA